GUGCAUGUAGCUCAGUUGGUAGAGUGCUUGCUUAGCACUCAUGAGGUCCCAAGUUCGAUCCCCAGCACUGUAUA
rnacentral:tRNA from 1 species